AACUGACCAAAUGGCAGAAGAUAUUUGCAGAUGACAUUUUGGAUAAAGGUUUCCAUGGAGUAAAACACUCAGCUAGACAUACACUAGGUGCUCAGUAGGCAUCGGACUUGGAGCCGAGGAGACCUUCCUGUCCAUCUUCUCUUCCUACAAUGCUACCAACUCCAGCCUUCCCCAAGGAGGCUCAUGAUUGGCCCAUGACAAAGAUAAUAUGUGCUCAAAAAAAUCGAGAGAGACAUCCAGAAGAAAACACAAAUGUCUUGAAAUCCUAACUCCCAGAGCCAAUCACCGUCAACCUUUGUAUAAGCAUUCUUCUGAUCCCUUUCAUCCCACACAACUACUUGUGGAGAUGUGGCUACUCUGAGGUACGUGCUGUGAUCCUUUACCUGCCAUUUGGCCUUCAUAGUGUGUUGUGGACAGCUCUCCGUGUCAUUGCAUAUAUAUGUGUAGCUGGGUAUUCAUCCCCUUCAGUGGCUGCAUAGCAUUGCACUUUACCAGCAUGUUAUCCUCUAUUUACCCCAGUCCACUAUUGAUAACUAGGUUGUUUCCAGAUUUACAUUAUUCUAUGCAACACCAAAGUCAAAUAACCUUCUGUUACAUCUUUGCAAACUUGUCAGGCUAUCUUUUAUGGAUAAAUUCCUCGCAGUGGCAUUGAUGGAGCAAAUGGUGACGUUCAAGUCAUCUAAAAUACGCUAUUUCCUUUAAACUCAUGAUACUUCUGAAUCAUUUUUAACUAAAAGCCAAAUGCAGUGAAUUGAUCUUAGAAAAGUAAUUGACAACAUUUUCUAAAAGCUUCCCCAGGCCUGUGAGGAAGAUUGAUGAUACUGGGAUGUGGGGUUCCCUUUAACUUCUUCAUUUUCACCCAAGUCUCUAUUGUUUUUACUUCUUCUGUGCCUCCCUCACAGAUUGAUGACUUUCCCCAUUUUAGAACUGAACCCCUUAGCAUCCACCAUUUGUAUUUUAGGUCGUCUCAAAUUAGUACACAGGUAAUGGCAACAGAUAAUAACAAUAGCAAACACUUGUAUGGCAUGUACAGUGUGUCAGGCAUGCAGUGGUAUGUACUUUUCAAAUAUAGCUGAGUUCAUCUUAUAAAAAGUCUUAGGUAGAAAUUGCCAACAUCUUCAUUUCACUGGUGAAGAAACGUAGGCCCUAAAAGACUAAAUGAUUUGUUCAAAUUCAGACAGCAAAUACGUGGUUGAGCCAGGAAUAAAACCUGUGCAGUUUGGCUCCAGAAGCUUACAGGUUCAUCUAAGCCAAUGUGCCUUCCCCUGCCAGCUCACAAAGGUGGUAGACACAGGUGCUCCAUGCCCUAGCUACUCAACUUCUGUGAGCAGCCAGUCAUAAUCCCCUCCUCCCCCAGCAUCUCAGUUGAAUUAAGAUGUGGAAGUUACCUGUGUUCAUUUGGUAGGAUGUAAGCCUCUUCUUGUGUUUGAAUGAACCCUCUAGAACUAAUACAAGAUCCUGCUUUCUACAUCUCUCUUUCCCCUCCCUAUUGUUCAAAGCCAAGUUCACCAUACUCAUUCUGGAACAAAAGUCUCUUCUGGUUCCUUAUUCAAGGCAGUGGGCAAUUUUGCAUAGGACCUUCUUUCAUGCAGUUCUAAACUUCAGGGCUGGAGGAAACUGGGAUUUCUCCCUUCCUUGUUUGUAAAUAAUGUCUCUUGUUGGCAGAGUUUGUUUUAAUCAUAAAAGUAUGUUGUGUUGGUUGCAGAAAAAAAAUUUAACAGGCAGAAAAGUAUAAAGAAGCAAAUAAAAUCACUUGUUAGAGGAAAGCAC